rnacentral:lncRNA from 10 species
UGACAGCUGCAGUGCAAGGCUGAUAGCAGUACAAAGCAAGUCACUUCUGAGCACUGCUAAGAGAACGCAGCCCCACAAAGGUUCUCUCCUCCAACCACAAGUUAAGCCGAAGGAGCCGCUUGCUGGUUGAGUUGACACUCUCUAGUAAAUCCUGGCAUAACUUCUGUGGCAAGGCUGCUUCAGGAUGGAAGGAGAAGGACUGGAAUGGUGACUUGGAGACAGAAUAUCAGAACUCAGCUGGGGACAUCAUGAAUUGAGGGUGCUGGUGGAAUAUGCCAUGAAGAUGGUCAGGAGUGUGCAUCUCAGAGGAGUGGUUUGAGCUGAGGGUACAUAUUUGACGUCAGCAGUUUGGAUAAAAGUUCACCACUUACAACAGAAGCAACUACACAGGUGAAAGAGAAUGAGAAGAACAGAAAAACAUGGACUGCUAGAGAACAUCAGUAUUUAAGGCACGGAAAAGGAGAUUAUGAAGAAACAGCUAGAGGUGUAUGAAAAAACUACCAGAGUUUAUUGUCACAAUAUAGAAAUAAGGCAAGGGAAGUGAGAGUCUCAAGGACAGUGGUCAAAGUGCCAAAUGAUGGAGAGAAAUCAAGGAAUACCUAAUAUGUGUAAUCCGGCACUCAAUACUAAAAAUAUGAGUUAAAGUACGUGGUAUCAAAUUACAGUGAGACGAACAAUAACAUUGAGACUCAAACACACAAGGACCUCAAAGGAAGAAAAGUUAGGUGACCAUUUACCAAAGAAAGAACUCAAGCUGCCCACAUGCAAUUAGCUAGUCCACACCCAGGCACCGUCUUCAUUCCAACUUUAGGUCGUGACUCAAAUUAGUCACAAGGAGUGCAAUGGCGUGAUCUCUGCUCACUGCAACCUCCACCUCCCAGGUUCAAGCGAUUCUCCUGCCUCAGCUUCCCAAGUAGUUGGGAUUACAGGUACACGCCACCAGGCCUGGCUAAUUUUUUUUUUUUUUUAUUUUUACUAGAGACAGGGUUUCACCAUGUCAGCCAGGCUGGUCUCGAACUCCUGACCUCAGGUGAUCCACCCACCUUGGCCUUCCACAGUGCAGGGAUUAUAGGCAUGAGCCACCACACCCGGACUUUAAUUUUAAUUCAAUCCAUUUUCCUACUGUCAGGACCUUUACUCCUUUUAUAUACCUACCCUCCAGGCUUGGCCUAAGGUUGGCUAUUCACACGUGUUAUAAAGUUAGAAAACACAUUUGAUGAUAGAAGUAGCCCUGUCUGCAAGUUUUUAUCGUAUAUGAGAUUUUGUGUCUGCGGGCUCCCCAUCAAUUCUGUUGGACAUUCUUCCAAUAGAUUCCUUUCCUGCUUAAGUAAGCCUCAUUGAUUUCUGUUUCUUGUACCUAAGAAUCCUAAAUAAAAAUCGGCAUUUUAUUUUACUAAU